AACCCUUGUCCUUAGUUACCAGCACGUUAUGGUGGGCACUCUAAGGAGACUGCCGGUGACAAACCGGAGGAAGGUGGGGAUGACGUCAAGUCAUCAUGGCCCUUACGGCCUGGGCUACACACGUGCUACAAUGGUCGGUACAAAGGGUUGCCAAGCCGCGAGGUGGAGCUAAUCCCAUAAAACCGAUCGUAGUCCGGAUCGCAGUCUGCAACUCGACUGCGUGAAGUCGGAAUCGCUAGUAAUCGUGAAUCAGAAUGUCACGGCGAAUACGUUCCCGGGCCUU
rnacentral:rRNA from 1 species